GUGAAUCAUCGAAUCUUUGAACGCAACUUGCGCCUCUCUGAGGCAUGUCUGUUUGAGUGCCGCAUACUCUCUGCAGCAAUGCGACAUGGCCAUUGUCCCCGGACUGGGCCUAAACAAAGCCAGAUAGUGGCAGUUAAACUAGCCCGAGUGCUAAGCAUUCUCGAGCUAGCCGCACUGCCAUAAAUCUAUUCUAUCUUUGGCCUCAAAUCAGGCAAGACUACCCGCUGAACUUAAGCAUAUCAAUAAGCGGAGGA
rnacentral:misc_RNA from 1 species